GUCGGUGUCGUACAGCAGCCUAGUACUCCCGUCUUUCAUACGGGCAACACGGGUGCGAACCCCGUCACCGACG
rnacentral:tRNA from 1 species